GUAGUCGUGGCCUAAUGGAUAGAGAGUCGGACUUGGAACCUGAAGGUUGUGGGUUCGAGUCUCAGGGCCGGCA